CCACAGGCCGUAAACCCAAGGUUUCCAGGGGAAGGUUCGUCCGCCCUGGGUUAGUCGGGACCUAAGCUGAGGCCGAAAGGCGUAGGUGCUGGACAACAGGUUGAUAUUCCUGUACUACCGAUAACCGGUUGAGAGAGGGGAUGACACAGUAGGAUAAGCUAAGCACACUGUUGGUUAUGUGUGCCCAAGCAUUGAGGCAGUCAAAGUAGGCAAAUC
rnacentral:rRNA from 1 species